rnacentral:lncRNA from 1 species
CACCAAUGCACCAGAUUUGAAGGCCACGGAGGCUUCUAAAAUGCUCAGGAAGAGCUAGGUGUCCUGUUCACAUAUGAAUGAAAGAGAAAAUAAGGAUCCAGAGCUCAGUACCUGCACAGAUGUUCUUAUGGCCCAAGGAAAUCCUUCUCCACAUCUCUUGCCCUAUUACCUUGAAAGAAAAAGUGGCUGCCCCAAAUCCCCAAACGCCAUGAACAUUGAAGGAUGGUGCCCCUGUCCAUGUUGCAUUUGGAUGCCUCUUUGGAGUAUCAGGAGGAUUUGAGCAGUGGAAGCUCUUAAGAAAGAAAAUACAAAUUAUUUUAAGAAGAAAACAACCCCAUCAAAAAGUGGGUGAAGGAUAUGAACAGACACUUCUCAAAAGAAGACAUUUAUGCAGCCAAAAGACACAUGAAAAAAUGCUCA